rnacentral:lncRNA from 1 species
UUUAAAUUUUCAAUUUAAAUUGUAACUAUAAGCCGUUUGUUUAUGUUUUUAUCUCUUUAUAUAUAAUUUAAUACUAACAUUACAAAACUAUAGUUUUAGUAUUUUACUUUAUAGUCAACUAAAUAAUCGAAUUGAAAAGUCACUUUUGCAAAAGUGACUUUUUUCAUUUCGCCCACUUUCAGGCAACCAAACAUGCCCUUAGAG